rnacentral:tRNA from 1 species
UUUCUAUUAGCUCAAUGGCAGAGCAGAAUACUUCUAAUAUUUUGAUCUAAGUUCGAGUCUUAGAUAGAAAG